rnacentral:lncRNA from 1 species
CAUCAAUCAAUCAAGCAAUGAUCUUAUUUUUGAGAGUUGGCAUAAUUAUCCAAGGAGUCUGACAAUGUUCCAUUUGGAAUAUUCAAAUGUUCUAUUUGGAAUAUUCAAAUAUUCUAUUUGGAAUAUUCAAAAACAGUAAGACAUCCAUGGAUAAAAGGCAGAAGGUGUCAGGGAAAAGCUCCUCUGUACGGAAGAAACUAUGAAGUUUAUCUCCACAAGUCUGAGCUGGAGCUGUCAAAAAAAAAAAAAAAAAGAGAGAGAGAGAAAAGAAAAGAAAGGCUGCUGGAUUCACCCUGCAUCGGCUGCAGAGGGCGCUGUGAACAUUGAAGACAGAGGGUGAAUCUAUACACUAUCAACAAUGCAGGUAUUAACAGCCUCUGGCGUGUGGUCUGAAGAUGGUUCACUUUGCCAGGAUGCACUCUCACAUCACCCAUGAGAUUUCUAUUCACCUGUAGAGGCUACCUCUGCUCUCGGGGCUGACUUGUUCCCUCCAAACUGGGAUCCUGCGAGCACUUCACUCACACUGCCACUCACCUUAAUAUCUGAUCUCUAGUGUCCUGCAAAUUCUUCUCAGUACCCUAUUAGGAUCAAGUUAUGGAAAAAAAAUCUCCUCUCGCCUUGUUUCAGACAGUGUAUAAUGGCAUACAUUUAAAAGGAAAAUUUAUAAGGAAAAAAGAAAACAUACAAAAGAAAAAAGCAUUUAUUCAAAAUACAAAUAUUUUAUCCUAAGAACAUUAAAAUAUCUACCUGGAAGUUUGUUUGAAUAGUAUAGUUUACUGGAUUCAUUUUCCAUUCUCCGUGUACCCUCCUCCACCCCCUUAUUUCUUCAGUCAUGUCAGGAAUAGUCCCCAAACUUCCCACUUCUCUUUCAGUUCUGGGUCACCCUUUCCUUCAG